rnacentral:rRNA from 1 species
GGAGGAAAAGAAACUAACAAGGAUUCCCCUAGUAACGGCGAGUGAAGCGGGAAGAGCUCAAAUUUGAAAUCUGGUGGCCUCAGGUCAUCCGAGUUGUAAUCUAUAGAAGUGUUUUCCGUGCUGGCUCAUGUACAAGUCCCUUGGAACAGGGCGUCAUAGAGGGUGAGAAUCCCGUCCUUGACAUGAACUACCAGUGCUCUGUGAUACAUUUUCAACGAGUCGAGUUGUUUGGGAAUGCAGCUCAAAAUGGGUGGUAAAUUCCAUCUAAAGCUAAAUAUUGGCGAGAGACCGAUAGCGAACAAGUACCGUGAGGGAAAGAUGAAAAGCACUUUGGAAAGAGAGUUAAACAGUAUGUGAAAUUGUUGAAAGGGAAACGAUUGAAGUCAGUCGUGCUCUUUGGAUUCAGCCGGUUCUGCCGGUGUACUUCCUUUGAGUGGGGUCAACAUCAGUUUUGAUCGCUGGAUAAAGGCUGGAGGAACGUAGUACCCUCGGGUAAACUUAUAGCCUCCUGUCACAUACAGUGGUUGGGACUGAGGAACGCAGCACGCCUUUAUGGCCGGGAUUCGUCCACGUACGUGCUUAGGAUGUUGACAUAAUGGCUUUAAACGACCCGUU